rnacentral:rRNA from 1 species
AGGAUGAACGCUGGCGGCGUGCCUAACACAUGCAAGUCGAACGUCCUGUCUCGCAAGAGGCAGGGAGUGGCGGACGGGUGAGUAACACAUGGGUACCUACCUUGGAGUGAGGGAUACCGGCGAGAAAUCGCCGACAAUACCGCAUAGGCUUCUUCACAAGGGAAGCAAAGUGACGCGAGUCACGCUGUGAGAUGGGCCUGUGGCCGAUUAGCUAGUUGGGGGGGUAACGGCUUCCCAAGGCGACGAUCGGUAGCUGGUCUGAGAGGACGAUCAGCCACACUGGGAUUGAGAACGGCCCAGACUCCUACGGGGGCAGCAGUGAGGAAUUUUCCGCAAUGGAGGCAACUCUGACGGAGCAACGCCGCGUGCAGGAGGAAGGUUUUCGGAUCGUAAACUGCUUUUCUCGGGGACGAGCAAGGACGGUACCCGAGGAAGAAGCCCCGGCUAACUACGUGCCAGCAGCCGC